rnacentral:sRNA from 1 species
UUAAUAAUAGUAAGCAAUUCAUUUUU